CUUCAUUUGACAGCAUUGUGACUGCUUUGAUGAAGAGUCAGCGGGAGAUGGAAGAAAAUAUGAAUAAAGAACUAGCAGAAGCCACUGCUGAACUUGAUUCUGUGUACCGGAGAGCCUCUCGACUGAGAUCUACCGGUGACCUUUUGAAAACAUCACACAGCCAUAUGUACAGAUUCUGAAGAAAACUUAUGUUUUCUGAAAAAUAAAGAGUGAAACUAUCUACUGGACAGUUAACAUAACGUCUUUGUUGGUUCCUAUUAAACAUGUUGUAGAAAUCCUUAUUGAAGGAAAUAUUGUUGUAUCAUAUGUGUAUGAGAAUUUAUAUAGUAUUUUCAAUCAUUUUUCUUUGUAUCUAACUUUUAAGUAGAUUUUGUGAAUAAAACCCAGCCCUAUUGAGUUUUUCAUUCUCCAACUGAGGCCAGAUACCAGUUAUUUAAUGAGCAGACAAACCACCAAACCUUUCAUUAAUAUUUAGCUGAGUUGGGAGUUCCUGUUGUGGCACAGUGGAAAUGAAUCCAACUAGGAUCCAGGCUGUCACAGGUUCAAUCCCUGGCCUUGCUCAGUGGGUUGAGGAUCUGAAGUUGCUUGAGCUGUGGUGGUCACAGAAUCGGCUUGGACCCCAUGCUGGUGUGAUUCUGGCUUAGGCCAAGGGCUGUAGCUCUGAUUCAAACCCUACCCUGGGAACUUCCAUAUGUCAUGGGUGCAGCCCUGAAAAACAAAGCAAAAAGAAAAAGUAUAUAUUUAGCAAUGGUGAUUAGAUAGCUUUCUUGUAGUUUCCAGGUUUUAUCACUAUAUAUAGAUGCAAAGAUCUAGACAGACAUGAUUUCAAUACACUGAAACUGUGGCUAUUAUCAAUGUGUUGAUGUAUUACAAUUGUUGCAGAAUCAUACAACUCAUUCUGUAUACCUUUAAACUCUGACACAUAGAUCUUUCCUCAUGCAGCAAUAGGAUUUGCCUAAGGGAUUUUCCCCUUUCUAAUUUUUUUAAUUUACUUUUUGGAAACAGUUUUAAAAUUAGAAUUGUUCCAAGCACCUGACUCAGACAUCAUCACCAAAUUUAUAUGGAACAACAAAAGACCCAGAAUUGCCAAAGCAAUUCUGAGGA